rnacentral:rRNA from 1 species
GACGUAGGGUGCGAGCGUUGUCCGGAUUUAUUGGGCGUAAAGAGCUCGUAGGCGGCUUGUCGCGUCGACUGUGAAAUCCCGCGGCUCAACUGCGGGUCUGCAGUCGAUACGGGCAGGCUAGAGUUCGGUAGGGGAGACUGGAAUUCCUGGUGUAGCGGUGAAAUGCGCAGAUAUCAGGAGGAACACCGAUGGCGAAGGCAGGUCUCUGGGCAUUAACUGACGCUGAGGAGCGAAAGCAUGGGGAGCGAACAGG